UCCGGUUUGUCACCGGCAGUCUCCUUAAAGUCCCCGACAUUACUCGCUGGUAACUAAGGACAGGGGUUGCGCUCGUUACGGGACUUAACCCAACAUCUCACGACACGAGCUGACGACAGCCAUGCAGCACCUGUCUCACGGUUCCCGAAGGCACUCCCGCAUCUCUGCAGGAUUCCGUGGAUUCAAGAGUAGGUAAGGUUCUUCGCGUUGCAUCGAAUUAAACCACAUGCUCCACCGCUUGUGCGGGCCCCCGUCAAUUCCUUUGAGUUUCAGUCUUGCGACCGUACUCCCCAGGCGGAUGACUUCUCGCGUUAGCUGCGUUACUAAAGGAUUUAACUCCUCCAACAACUAGUCAUCAUCGUUUAGGGCGUGGACUAC
rnacentral:misc_RNA from 1 species